rnacentral:rRNA from 1 species
AUUGAACGCUGGCGGAAUGCUUUACACAUGCAAGUCGAACGGCAGCACGGGGCAACCUGGUGGCGAGUGGCGAACGGGUGAGUAAUAUAUCGGAACGUGCCCAAUCGUGGGGGAUAACGUAGCGAAAGUUACGCUAAUACCGCAUACGAUCUACGGAUGAAAGCGGGGGAUCGCAAGACCUCGCGCGAAUGGAGCGGCCGAUAUCAGAUUAGGUAGUUGGUGGGGUAAAGGCUCACCAAGCCAACGAUCUGUAGCUGGUCUGAGAGGACGACCAGCCACACUGGAACUGAGACACGGUCCAGACUCC